ACGGGUGAGUAACACGUGGGAACGUACCCUUUGGUUCGGAAUAACGCUGGGAAACUAGCGCUAAUACCGGAUACGCCCUUUUGGGGAAAGGCUUGCUGCCGAAGGAUCGGCCCGCGUCUGAUUAGCUAGUUGGUGGGGUAAUGGCCUACCAAGGCGACGAUCAGUAGCUGGUCUGAGAGGAUGAUCAGCCACACUGGGACUGAGACACGGCCCAGACUCCUACGGGAGGCAGCAGUGGGGAAUAUUGGACAAUGGGCGCAAGCCUGAUCCAGCCAUGCCGCGUGAGUGAUGAAGGCCUUAGGGUUGUAAAGCUCUUUUGUCCGGGACGAUAAUGACGGUACCGGAAGAAUAAGCCCCGGCUAACUUCGUGCCAGCAGCCGCGGUAAUACGAAGAGGGCUAGCGUUGCUCGGAAUCACUGGGCGUAAAGGGCGCGUAGGCGGCCAUUCAAGUCGGGGGUGAAAGCCUGUGGCUCAACCACAGAAUUGCCUUCGAUACUGUUUGGCUUGAGUAUGGUAGAGGUCGGUGGAACUGCGAGUGUAGAGGUGAAAUUCGUAGA
rnacentral:rRNA from 1 species